UACGUAGGGUGCAAGCGUUAAUCGGAAUUACUGGGCGUAAAGCGUGCGCAGGCGGCUUUGCAAGACAGAUGUGAAAUCCCCGGGCUCAACCUGGGAACUGCAUUUGUGACUGCAUGGCUGGAGUGCGGCAGAGGGGGAUGGAAUUCCGCGUGUAGCAGUGAAAUGCGUAGAUAUGCGGAGGAACGCCGAUGGCGAGGGCAGCCUCCUGGGCCAGCACUGACGCUCAUGCACGAAAGCGUGGGGAGCAAACAGG
rnacentral:rRNA from 1 species